UACAGAGGUCCCAAGCGUUGGUCGGAUUCAUUGGGCGUAAAGGGUGCGUAGGCGGCGCGGUAAGUCGGGUGUGAAAUCUCGGGGCUUAACUCCGAAACUGCAUUCGAUACUGCCGUGCUUGAGGACUGGAGAGGAGACUGGAAUUUACGGUGUAGCGGUGAAAUGCGUAGAUAUCGUAAGGAAGACCAGUGGCGAAGGCGGGUCUCUGGACAGUUCCUGACGCUGAGGUGCGAAAGCGUGGGGAGCAAACAGG
rnacentral:rRNA from 1 species